rnacentral:rRNA from 1 species
GAUGAACGCUAGCUACAGGCUUAACACAUGCAAGUCGAGGGGCAGCACAGUGUAGCAAUACACGGGUGGCGACCGGCGCACGGGUGCGUAACGCGUAUCCAACCUUCCCGUUACUCUUGGAUAGCCUUCCGAAAGGGAGAUUAAUACAAGAUGGUAUUCAAAUUCCGCAUGUUAUUUGAAUUAAAGAUUUAUCGGUAACGGAUGGGGAUGCGUGACAUUAGAUAGUAGGCGGGGUAACGGCCCACCUAGUCUACGAUGUCUAGGGGUUCUGAGAGGAAGGUCCCCCACACUGGAACUGAGACACGGUCCAGACUCCUACGGGAGGCAGCAGUGAGGAAUAUUGGUCAAUGGUCGGAAGACUGAACCAGCCAAGUAGCGUGAAGGAUGAAGGUUCUAUGGAUUGUAAACUUCUUUUAUACGGGAAUAAAACCACCUACGUGUAGGUGCUUGUAUGUACCGUAUGAAUAAGCAUCGGCUAACUCCGUG